AGUCUAGCAUGUGCGCGAGUCAUUGGGACUCAAUAAACCUAAAGGCGCAAUGAAAGUGAAAGUCUGUUUACGCGGACUUAGGGAGGAUAGGUGCGUGCACAUUGUGUACAACCUCGCACUCCCGGGGCGUCUCGCACUCAUUGCGAGGUGGGGCGCACCAAGAGCGUACACGCUGGGACCCGAAAGAUGGUGAACUAUGCCUGGUCAGGACGAAGUCAGGGGAAACCCUGAUGGAGGUCCGUAGCGAUUCUGACGUGCAAAUCGAUCGUCGGAACUGGGCUUAGGGGCGAAAGACUAAUCGAACCAUCUAGUAGCUGGUUCCCACCGAAGUUUCCCUCAGGAUAGCUGGCACUAGAUUAUGGAUGAGUCUCAUCCGGUAAAGCGAAUGAUUAGAGGCAUUGGGGUCGAAACGGCCUCAACCUAUUCUCAAACUUUAAAUGGGUGAGAUCUCCGGCUUGCUCGAUUUAUGAAGCCGGAGAUCGGAUCAAUUAGUGCCAAGUGGGCCACUUUUGGUAAGCAGAACUGGCGCUGUGGGAUGAACCAAACGCAGAGUUAAAGCGCCAAAAUCGACGCUUAUGGGAUACCAUGAAAGGCGUUGGUAACUUAAGACAGCAGGACGGUGGCCAUGGAAGUCGGAA
rnacentral:rRNA from 1 species